CCUAUCAACUUUCGAUGCCACUUUUUGUGCCUACCAUGGUGACCACGGGUAACGGGGAAUCAGGGUUCAAUUCCG
rnacentral:rRNA from 1 species